UACGUAGGGUGCAAGCGUUGUCCGGAAUUAUUGGGCGUAAAGAGCUCGUAGGCGGUCUGUCGCGUCUGCUGUGAAAACUCAGGGCUUAACCCUGAGCUUGCAGUGGGUACGGGCAGACUAGAGUGCGGUAGGGGAGACUGGAAUUCCUGGUGUAGCGGUGAAAUGCGCAGAUAUCAGGAGGAACACCGGUGGCGAAGGCGGGUCUCUGGGCCGUAACUGACGCUGAGGAGCGGAAAGCAUGGGGAGCGAACAGGA
rnacentral:rRNA from 1 species